rnacentral:misc_RNA from 1 species
UACGGAGGGUGCAAGCGUUAAUCGGAAUUACUGGGCGUAAAGCGUGCGCAGGCGGUUUUGUAAGUCUGAUGUGAAAUCCCCGGGCUCACCCUGGGAAUUGCAUUGGAGACUGCAAGGCUGGAGACUGGCAGAGGGGGGUAGAAUUCCCCGUGUAGCAGUGAAAUGCGUAGAGGUGUGGAGGAACACCGAUGGCGAAGGCAGCCCCCUAGGUCAAGAUUGACGCUCAUGCACGAAAGCGUGGGGAGCAAACAGG